UCAUCAUGAUUAUCAUUCAUCAUCAUCAGCAUCAUCAUCAUCAUCAUCAUCAUUCAUCAUUAUCAAAUCUCAGGAUCUUCAAGGUGGUUCUUCUCGUUCGUAGCUACCUUCUAGACUGUGAUUUCCAAUUUUCGAACUCUCGAGGAUUGCAAGAGCUGAUGAGUCCACGAGUUCUUCCUCAUCAGUAGCUUCCGGUGAUAGAACCCUAAUCCAUGAUGAUGAAUUCACUCAAGCCAAGGCAAGCAUAGAAAUUUUCGAUUGGUACUCGAAAUGCUAAGGAACAUGUAUCUGCCAAGAAAUUCCUGGUAAUGUUCUAUUUCUUCAUUUGGUUGCUAGAUAUCAAUUAGUCACAAUUUCGAAAUGUUAACUAUUG